AGAUGUAAGGGCUAUCUGGCUGCAACAUCUGUCACCCCAUUGAUUGCCAGGGUUGAUUCAGCUGAUCUGGCUGCUUUGGAGGGUGUCCGCUUUCUCCGCUCAUGGUUCCAUGUGUGUCCCUCCCAAAGCUGCACACUCGGUCUUGGUAGCUGUGCUCUCCUGCUAC
rnacentral:snRNA from 1 species